rnacentral:rRNA from 1 species
GACGAACGCUGGCGGCGUGCUUAACACAUGCAAGUCGAACGGAAAGGCCCUGCUUUUGUGGGGUGCUCGAGUGGCGAACGGGUGAGUAACACGUGAGUAACCUGCCCUUGACUUUGGGAUAACUUCAGGAAACUGGGGCUAAUACCGGAUAGGAGCUCCUGCUGCAUGGUGGGGGUUGGAAAGUUUCGGCGGUUGGGGAUGGACUCGCGGCUUAUCAGCUUGUUGGUGGGGUAGUGGCUUACCAAGGCUUUGACGGGUAGCCGGACUGAGAGGGUGACCGGCCACAUUGGGACGGAGAUACGGCCCAGACUCCUACGGGAGGGAGCAGUGGGGAAGAUUGCACAAUGGGCGGAAGCCUGAUGCAGCAACGCCGCGUGCGGGAUGACGGCCUUCGGGUUGUAACCCGCUUUCGCCUGUGACGAAGCGUGAGGGACGGUAAUGUGUAAAGAAGCACCGGCUAACUACGUG